UCGCCAGACUCCUACGGGAGGCAGCAGUGGGGAAUCUUCCGCAAUGGGCGAAAGCCUGACGGAGCAACGCCGCGUGAUCGAAUGAAGGCCUUCGGGUUGUAAAGAUCUGUUGACAGGGACGAAUAAGCAAUGCGAAUAGUUUUGUGUAUGACGGUACCUGUUUAGAAAGCUCCGGCUAACUACGUGCCAGCAGCCGCGGUAAUACGUAGGGGGCAAGCGUUAUCCGGAUUUACUGGGUGUAAAGGGAGCGUAGACGGCUGCGCAAGUCAGAAGUGAAAGCCCGAGGCUCAACCGCGGGACUGCUUUUGAAACUGUGUAGCUAGAGUGCAGGAGAGGUAAGUGGAAUUCCUAGUGUAGCGGUGAAAUGCGUAGAUAUUAGGAGGAACACCAGUGGCGAAGGCGGCCUGCUGGGCUUUAACUGACGCUGAGGCUCGAAAGCGUGGGGAGCAAACAGGAUUAGAUACCCCAGUACUU
rnacentral:rRNA from 1 species